AUUGAACGCUGGCGGCAUGCCUUACACAUGCAAGUCGAACGGCAGCACGGGGGCAACCCUGGUGGCGAGUGGCGAACGGGUGAGUAAUGCAUCGGAACGUACCCGGAAGUGGGGGAUAACGUAGCGAAAGUUACGCUAAUACCGCAUAUUCUGUGAGCAGGAAAGAGGGGGAUCGCAAGACCUCUCGCUUUCGGAGCGGCCGAUGUCGGAUUAGCUAGUUGGUGGGGUAAAGGCCUACCAAGGCGACGAUCCGUAGCGGGUCUGAGAGGAUGAUCCGCCACACUGGGACUGAGACACGGCCCAGACUCCUACGGGAGGCAGCAGUGGGGAAUUUUGGACAGUGGGGGCAACCCUGAUUCAGCCAUGCCGCGUGAGUGAAGAAGGCCUUCGGGUUGUAAAGCUCUUUCGGACGGAAAGAAAUCGCACGGGCUAAUACCCUGUGUGGAUGACGGUACCGUAAGAAGAAGCACCGGCUAACUACGUGCCAGCAGCCGCAGUAAGAC
rnacentral:rRNA from 1 species